ACCGGAUAGGACUAUUAAUACGGAGGCGGAUGUUUGGCGCUCUCUCGUAUUAAAUUGGACCGGACUAAUUUAAUCUGAUCCGCUUAUUUUACACGGCAUACACCCUCUUGCUAAAACCGUCCAAAAUGGGCGUAUUAUUUAGUCGGGUCCCUUUCCUUCUCUCUCGCACGAACUGCUCUCUCUCUCGAACUCCAUCGCCGUCACCCUUCCCUCUGUCUCCUUCUCUCACCAUAUCUCUAUCUUCUCUCGCACGAACCUCAAGUGGAGUAGAUCCUGAUCGGCUUUGAGCCUCCACAUCAGGCUCAAAUUCAAGAAGUACCUGGACAAGGUUAGGCCGACCUUAAGCAACCGCCAAGGGAAUCAAACAUUGGCCCUCAUAAUCCACAGAAUUGGCGGCUCUCCAUGAAGGUUCGCUCUUCUCGAAUAUCAUCCAUCAAACCAUCGAACACAAGUUGUGCCAAAAUAGGUGAACCAACAAACAUAUUUUCAUCGCACCACCACCGCACAAUUUGGAACGAUUUCAUCUGGGUUCUAGAACCUUGACUGCGAAACGAUGAUAAGAUUUGAAAAUUCGAAAGGAUUUCAUCUGGGUUUUACGAUUUUGCCUGUUUGGGUCAAGAACUGGUAAGGGAGUGAGGGUGUUUGGAAGGGGCGGUGCGGUAGUGAGAUCUGGGGAAGAGAUGAUUUCAAUUUUUUUUUUCUUUAAAUAAUUUGAAUUCCUCUUAUCCGAUAUAGUACCAAACACAGGAUAAAUAAUACGGUCAUUAGUCCGAUACUGCACCAAACGUCCGACUAAUUUAGUCAGUACUAUCCGGUGGUUAUUUAUCCUAUCCGACAGAAAUAGUCAGUACAGUCCGAGCUGCCAAACGAGGC
rnacentral:lncRNA from 1 species